AUUGAACGCUGGCGGCAUGCCUUACACAUGCAAGUCGAACGGCAGCGCGGACUUCGGUCUGGCGGCGAGUGGCGAACGGGUGAGUAAUGUAUCGGAACGUACCAUUCAGUGGGGGAUAACGCAGCGAAAGUUGCGCUAAUACCGCAUAUUCUGUGCGCAGGAAAGCAGGGGAUCGCAAGGCCUUGCGCUGAUUGAGCGGCCGAUAUCAGAUUAGCUAGUUGGUGAGGUAAAGGCUCACCAAGGCGACGAUCUGUAGCGGGUCUGAGAGGAUGAUCCGCCACACUGGAACUGAGACACGGUCCAGACUCCUACGGGAGGCAGCAGUGGGGAAUUUUGGACAAUGGGCGCAAGCCUGAUUCAGCCAUGCCGCGUGAGUGAAGAAGGCCUUCGGGUUGUAAAGCUCUUUCGGCCGGGAAGAAAUCGUAUGGGUUAAUACCCUGUGCGGAUGACGGUACCGGCAUAAGAAGCACCGGCUAACUACGUGCCAGCCGCCGCAGUAAAAC
rnacentral:rRNA from 1 species